rnacentral:rRNA from 1 species
UACGAAGGGGGCUAGCGUUGCUCGGAAUCACUGGGCGUAAAGCGCACGUAGGCGGACUCUUAAGUCGGUGGUGAAAUCCUGGAGCUCAACUCCAGAACUGCCUUCGAUACUGAGAGUCUCGAGUCCGGGAGAGGUGAGUGGAACUGCGAGUGUAGAGGUGAAAUUCGUAGAUAUUCGCAAGAACACCAGCGGCGAAGGCGGCUCACUGGCCCGGUACUGACGCUGAGGUGCGAAAGCGUGGGGAGCAAACAGG